UACGUAGGGUGCGAGCGUUAAUCGGAAUUACUGGGCGUAAAGCGUGCGCAGGCGGUGAUGUAAGACAGAUGUGAAAUCCCCGGGCUCAACCUGGGAGCUGCAUUUGUGACUGCAUCGCUGGAGUGCGGCAGAGGGGGAUGGAAUUCCGCGUGUAGCAGUGAAAUGCGUAGAUAUGCGAAGGAACACCGAUGGCGAAGGCAGCCCCCCUGGGCUAACACUGACGCUCAGGCACGAAAGCGUGGGGAGCAAACAGG
rnacentral:rRNA from 1 species